rnacentral:antisense_RNA from 1 species
AAAUAGGAGAAAAUAUAUAAAGGAAAAUAAAAAAUUAUAUUAUUUCAAUAUCAUUAGGAUUUAAGAAGAAUCUCCUCUAGUUUUUGUCCAUUUAGUAUAAAUAUAGACGAGUAGUUUGAGAAUCAAUAGGAAAAGUAAGAGGUGGCCUAAUUUGAGAAUGAGGAAGAAAUUCCCAUUGGCCUUUAGGUCCUGAUAUGAAAUCUUAUUUAAAGAAUUAAUAGUUUUAUUAAGACUUCUAUGGAUUUGCGUAAAAUAGAUAAGAAGAUCUCCAAUACCAUUGCUUAUUCUAUUGAUACUCCCAGUUUCAACCAUCUUUUUAUAAUACUUUUCUGCAAAAUGAAGAUCUUGCACAAUUCCUAUUCCGAAUUGAGCCAUAAAUGCUAAAUUAAAGGAGGCUUCUGAAAUAGGAGAAAUCAUCCAUCUAGAAGUUAUUAUGCUAUUUGAGACAAUCUUAUAAAGAUCGAAUGCUGCCAAAUAAUUUGGAGAUUCCAUAGAAACAAUUUCGAGCUCUAAAGGUCUAAUCCAGCUAGAAUUAGAAGAAUUCUCUAAAAGCUUUGGAGAAAGUUUAUAUCUAAGUUCGACUCCUUUUCCAUAGUAUGAGUAAUCUCCAUAUCUUAUAAUUGAAUCAACAUUCUCAUUAUAUAUUGAAAAUUCUAAAAACAUUUGUGGUAAAUACCAUUUAUUAAUAUUUUCGAUACCUUUUUCAUUAUUUUCGUUACCUAUAUUAUAAGUAUCUAAAUUAAUAUUUUCAAGAUCAGGAAAAAACUUUAAAAGGAUUUUUGGGAUAACUUUGGCUGAUAAUAACUUAAACCAGUACUCAACUCUAUUUGGCUUAAAUGAAAAAUCUGGAAGAGGGAUUCCAAUUAUGGACGAUACCCAUUCAAGAUGUUUAUUAUUUCUAAGAUCUUGAUCUAAUAAAGAGGCUAAGUUAGAUAUAGAUGGUGCAUAUCCUGUAAUUGCAAGUUUCAUUGUACUGAGAAUCAUUUGAUUCUUUUCAUCUUUACUUUUGGAUCUUGAAAAUUUAUUGGUAAUUGAAAUCAAAUUAUUUGUCCAAUUUGAUCUUUGUAUAAUUUCUCUAAGAAAUCCCAAAGCUGUAUUACAAUCUCUAUUUAUACCAAGCCCAUUCAAAUUUAACUGUGAAAGUGCAUAUGCAGAUGGAAGAUGUCCCUGCUCAUAAGCUCUUGUAUACCAAGAAAUUGCAUCUGAAUAUGAUUGAGGGGUACCCAUACCGGUAAGAUAAAGAGACGCUAAAUUAUAUUGUGCAUCAGCAAAUAAAUGAAAAGCACUUUCAUUAAAGUGGUGAAAAGCUAAUCUAAAAUUUCUCUCAAAUCCUUCACAUCCAUGAAAAUAAACAUAUCCCAUACCAUUAUGGCCUCCUGGAUCGUUAUAUAUAAAGGCUGAAAUUGAAAAAUAUUCAGAUGCAGUUUUUAGAUCUGGAGAGGUACCGAUACCUAAUGCAUGCAUGUAACCAAGUAACCCAAUAGCUUCGCCAUAAAUAAGUGUAGAAGGAAUAUCUAAUACAACUCCAACCAUUGAUUUAGCUUUAUCAGCAAUUUUUCUUAGAUAUUUAUAAGCUUUAGUAGCGUCUUGUUUAAAUCCAUCUACUCCU